CCAGACUCCUACGGGAGGCAGCAGUGGGGAAUAUUGCACAAUGGGCGAAAGCCUGAUGCAGCAACGCCGCGUGAAGGAAGAAGGCCUUCGGGUCGUAAACUUCUGUCCUUGGGGAAGAAGAACUGACGGUACCCAAGGAGGAAGCCCCGGCUAACUACGUGCCAGCAGCCGCGGUAAUACGUAGGGGGCAAGCGUUAUCCGGAAUUAUUGGGCGUAAAGAGUACGUAGGUGGCAACCUAAGCGCAGGGUUUAAGGCAAUGGCUCAACCAUUGUUCGCCCUGCGAACUGGGAUGCUUGAGUGCAGGGGAGGAAAGCGGAAUUCCUAGUGUAGCGGUGAAAUGCUUAGAUAUCACGAAGAACCCCGAUUGCGAAGGCAGCCUGCCGCAGCGUUACUGACGCUGAAGCUCGAAAGCGCGGGUAUCGAACAGGAUUAGAUACCCCAGUAC
rnacentral:rRNA from 1 species